CUCAACGGUACAGAAACACUGUUUUGGCAGAAGCGCAGAAGUUAGCUCGGAAGCGCAGGCUGAAUAGCAUGCAUGAAAGACCAGCUUAUGCUAAGAAACCCUGUUAUUCAGUGUCAUCGUGCGGCACAAGGUAUGUACUGUAUAUGAAUACGCUCUCGCUUACUCAGGGG